rnacentral:rRNA from 1 species
AGAUUGAACGCUGGCGGCAUGCCUUACACAUGCAAGUCGAACGGCAGCACGGGAGCAAUCCUGGUGGCGAGUGGCGAACGGGUGAGUAAUAUAUCGGAACGUGCCCAGUAAUGGGGGAUAGCCCGGCGAAAGCCGGAUUAAUACCGCAUACGACCUACGGGUGAAAGCGGGGGAUCGCAAGACCUCGCGUUAUUGGAGCGGCCGAUAUCAGAUUAGCUUGUUGGUGGGUAAAAGCCCACCAAGGCGACGAUCUGUAGCUGGUCUGAGAGGACGACCAGCCACACUGGGACUGAGACACGGCCCAGACUCCUACGGGAGGCAGCAGUGGGGAAUUUGGACAAUGGCGCAAGCCUGAUCCAGCCAUGCCGCGUGUGGGAAGAAGGCCUUCGGGUGUAAACCACUUUUGUCAGGAAGAAAGCUCUUAACUAAUAAUUAGAGCUAAUGACGGUACCUGAAGAAUAAGCACGGCUAACGUACGUAGCCAGCAGACCGCGUAA